CCUUCGCUAGCUUGUCAAUUUUGAAUAUUAAAUAUUCUUUGACAAUAUGAUGUAAAUAUAAAAUACAACAAGAAAGAGCAAGAGCUCAAAAAUACAGAAAGCACUCAAAGAAAUUUGUGUUUUCCAACGCCAGUACCAUCCCAUUUCCAGUUGACUAAAACCUGUGGUGAAAAGCGACAAACUGAUGAAUAAUAGGACGUGAACGACAGUCCACAGUUGGAAAAAUGAUGAGGAAAUGAAAAUCCAGAGACGUGAACACGUGCGGGCCUUUUCUGCUAUUUCUUAUAAAUAAGAUUGUUUUUAAUUCUGCAAAUUUGGUUCCCGCGAAAUAAAUUGAAACUUGUACCCACCAAUCAAGAGUGUCCAAAAAACAAGAGCAAUUCUCAAAGGCAUUCGACUUGCUCUCGGCCAAGGUUCAGCAGAAAAACAUUUCUUUUGAGAAAAUUGCUUCAAAACCUCUUCCUUCUGAAUCCACUUUUCUUCCAACCAACGCCGCAGGGAUAAUUCGUCUCUCGGAAUAUCCGAGGCAGGUACCCUUUUUAUUAAAAAAUGAACCUCAUUGGGCAGUUUUCCUGAGACUAAAUCGACUUCCGACUGUGGAAUGUUAUCUGGGUAUCCUAUUGUUAAAUCGUAUACAGCAUCGAGGUAGUUGGAUUCUUGA